rnacentral:rRNA from 1 species
GAUUAACGCUGGCGGCGUGCAUAACACAUGCAAGUCGAACGAUGAAACUUAACUGAUUUCUUCGGAAUGAUUUUAAGUGGAUUAGUGGCGGACGGGUGAGUAACGCGUGAGUAACCUGCCUUGGAGAAGGGGAUAGCCUUUGGAAACGAAGAAUAAUACCCUAUGAUAUGAUAAUAUCUCAUGAUAUUAUCAUCAAAGAUUUAUCGCUCUAAGAUGGACUUGCGUCUAAUUAGUUAGUUGGUGAGGUAACAGCUCACCAAGGCAGCGAUCAGUAGCCGGCUUGAGAGAGUGUACGGCCACAUUGGGACUGAGACACGGCCCAGACUCCUACGGGAGGCAGCAGUGGGGAAUUUUGCACAAUGGGGGAAACCCUGAUGCAGCGACGCCGCGUGAUUUAGAAGGCCUUCGGGUUGUAAAAAUCUUUUGUAUGGGAAGAAAAUGACAGUACCAUACGAAUAAGGACCGGCUAAUUACGUG